rnacentral:lncRNA from 1 species
CAUCAGUGACGCUCGAAUCCAAAAAGGUUAAAAAGGCCAAAUAAAGUACGAAGUUGAAGAGCAUUGAGGACCAAAAUUCCUAAAAGUUUUGCCAAAUCCAGCUAAGGUAUUCUAUGCCUGAUGUAGAAAAGCCUUAGUAUUUCAAAAAUUCUAAAUUUUGUAAACAGUUAAUUUAUAAAUAUAACCAUAUCAAUGAUAAUUCAUGUCAGCACAAAAAGUGCUGACUACUUGGCUGGUGAUACCCUCGGGGAAAUAAAUCUCCAUCAGCAGUGGCAUCGACCCAGUGGUUGUAAAUAAACUCAUCAUAGAUACCAG